rnacentral:rRNA from 1 species
GUGCCAGCAGCUGCGGUAAUACGAAGGGGGCUAGCGUUGCUCGGAAUCACUGGGCGUAAAGGGCGCGUAGGCGGACUCUUAAGUCGGGGGUGAAAGCCCAGGGCUCAACCCUGGAAUUGCCUUCGAUACUGGGAGUCUUGAGUUCGGAAGAGGUUGGUGGAACUGCGAGUGUAGAGGUGAAAUUCGUAGAUAUUCGCAAGAACACCAGUGGCGAAGGCGGCCAACUGGUCCGAAACUGACGCUGAGGCGCGAAAGCGUGGGAGCAAACAGGAUUAGAUACCCUGGUAGUCCACGCCGUAAACGAUGAAUGCCAGCCGUUGGGAGCUUGCUCUUCAGUGGCGCAGCUAACGCUUUAAGC